rnacentral:rRNA from 1 species
CUCAAAGGAAUUGACGGGGACCCGCACAAGCGGUGGAUGAUGUGGUUUAAUUCGAUGCAACGCGAAAAACCUUACCUACCCUUGACAUGUCUGGAAUCCUGAAGAGAUUUGGGAGUGCUCGAAAGAGAACCAGAACACAGGUGCUGCAUGGCCGUCGUCAGCUCGUGUCGUGAGAUGUUGGGUUAAGUCCCGCAACGAGCGCAACCCUUGUCAUUAGUUGCUACGAAAGGGCACUCUAAUGAGACUGCCGGUGACAAACCGGAGGAAGGUGGGGAUGACGUCAGGUCCUCAUGGCCCUUAUGGGUAGGGCUACACACGUCAUACAAUGGCCGGUACAGAGGGCUGCCAACCCGCGAGGGGGAGCCAAUCCCAGAAAACCGGUCGUAGUCCGGAUCGCAGUCUGCAACUCGACUGCGUGAAGUCGGAAUCGCUAGUAAUCGCGGAUCAGCUUGCCGCGGUGAAUACGUUCCCGGGUCUUGUACACACCGCCCGUCACACCA